rnacentral:rRNA from 1 species
UACGUAGGUGGCAAGCGUUGUUCGGAAUUAUUGGGCGUAAAGGGCGCGUAGGCGGUUUGUUAAGUCGGCUGUGAAAGCCUGGGGCUCAACCCCAGAGGGUCGGCCGAUACUGGCAAACUAGAGUACGGAAGAGGUAGCUGGAAUUCCCGGUGUAGCGGUGAAAUGCGUAGAGAUCAUGAGGAAGACCAGUGGCGAAGGCGGGUCUCUGGACAGUUCCUGACACUGAGGCACGAAGGCCAGGGGAGCAAACGGG